UACGAAGGGGGCUAGCGUUGCUCGGAAUCACUGGGCGUAAAGGGUGCGUAGGCGGGUCUUUAAGUCAGGGGUGAAAUCCUGGAGCUCAACCCCAGAACUGCCUUUGAUACUGAAGAUCUUGAGUUCGGGAGAGGUGAGUGGAACUGCGAGUGUAGAGGUGAAAUUCGUAGAUAUUCGCAAGAACACCAGUGGCGAAGGCGGCUCACUGGCCCGAUACUGACGCUGAGGCACGAAAGCGUGGGGAGCAAACAGG
rnacentral:rRNA from 1 species